AUGUCUUCUGAUGCUUCCGCGUUGUCUUCUCUCCGACCUCUUGAUUUGCCUGUUAAUGUUCUUACUGCCGAUGGCACAUCUCUUCCUGUUGCUAGUCGUGGUAUUCUUUCCACUCCAUUUUUUUCUGUUCCGAGUGUUUCUCAUGUUCCUCGCCUUACCAUGAAUCUUUUUUCCGCUGCCCAACUUACUGAUUCUGGUUGUCGUGUCAUUCUUGACACCGACUCUUGCUCCAUUCAGGAUCGUCGCACCAAAGCUUUGGUUGGUGCUGGCCCCCGGCGCCGUGAGUCAGAGGGCCUUUGGGAGGUUGACUGGCUUUGUGUUCCUUCCGCUGCCACCACUUCUGCCAGCUCUCAUGCUCUUGCUGCCUCUUCGUCUGCGUCCUUCCAACAGUGGCAUCAUCGACUUGGUCACAUCUGUGGCUCUCGUUUAUCUUCCUUAGUGCGUCAGGGCCUCUUAGGGUCUGUAUCUGGAGAUGUCUCCUUACAUUGUAAUGGUUGCAGACUUGGCAAACAGACUCAGUUACCUUAUCCUACUAGUGAGUCAGUAUCUCAGCAUCCGUUUGACUUAGUUCAUUCUGAUGUCUGGGGUCCUGCUCCCUUUGAUUCGAAAGGUGGUCAUUGCUACUAUGUUUUGUUUAUUGAUGAUUUCUCUCGCUACACUUGGCUCUACUUCAUGAAAUCUCGUAGCGAGGUUCCCUCUAUAUACAAACGUUUUGCUGCCAUGGUUCACACCCAGUUUGCCACGUCCAUUCGUACUUUUCGUGCUGACUCUGCUGGGGAGUAUAUCUCUCAGCUAUUGCGUGGUUUUCUAGCGGAACAGGGUACUCUUGCCCAGUUCUCAUGUCCUGGGGCUCAUGCUCAGAAUGGCGUUGCCAAACGCAAGCAUCGUCAUUUGCUUGAGACGACUCGUGCGCUAAUGAUUGAUGCUUCCCUUCCACCCCACUUUUGGGCUGAGGCUGUUUCCGCAUCCACCUAUCUCAUCAACAUUCAGCCAUCAACUGCUCUUCAGGGUGGUAUUCCUAUGGAGUGUCUCACUGGUCGCUCUCCCGAUUACUCAACUCUUCGUAUGUUUGGAUGUGUGUGCUAUGUUCUUCUUGCCCCCCGAGAACGCACCAAACUGACUGCUCAGUCGGUUGAGUGUGUCUUCCUUGGCUACAGCGAUGAGCACAAGGGCCAUCGAUGUUGGGAUCCUAUAGGUCGUCGCUUGCGCAUCUCGCGUGAUGUGACUUCUGAUGAGUCUCGUUCUUACUACCCACAUUCUUCUUCCUCGAGUUUCUCUGUAACAUUGCUUUCCUUCUCCUUCCCGAUACACCCCGCUACGUGCCUCCUGUGUCACCUCUUCCUCUGGCACCUCUCCUCCCUUCUCUCACCACCGACCCCAUCCUCUCCAUCCUCCUCCUUCACCUAUUCACCAUCAUCUUCAGUCCGUCGCCCUCUCUCACCGUUUCCUCUCCACUAUACUCGUCGCCCUCAUACUGAGGAUGUCUCCCCUGAUGAGCCUUCCACCUCUGGUGCUCCUCCCUCCACAUCUCCCCCGGUUCAUAAUCUCCGUGCUCGGCCUCGCCGCCCACCUGAUCGCUACUCCCCUGAUCGGUAUGGUCUCUCUGCCAUUGCUGAGCCCACUUCCUAUCGGACUGCCAUGACUCAGCCUGAGUGGCAGCUUGCGAUGGCCGAAGAGCUUGUUGCCCUUGAGCGCUCUGGCACUUGGGAUCUGGUUCCUCUCCCUUCCGGCGUUCGUCCCAUCACCUGCAAGUGGGUCUACAAGGUUAAGACUCGCUCCGAUGGUUCUCUUGAGCGCUACAAAGCUCGUCUUGUAGCCCGUGGUUUCCAACAGGAGCAGGGACGUGAUUAUGAUGAGACAUUCGCUCCUGUGGCCCACAUGACCACUGUUCACACACUUCUUGCUGUGGCUUCUGUUCGUCAGUGGUCUAUCUCUCAACUUGAUGUUCAGAACGCUUUUCUCAAUGGCGAGUUGCGUGAGGAGGUUUAUAUGCAGCCACCACAGGGGUACUAUGCUCUUGAUGGUAUGGUCUGUAGACUUCGCCGCUCUCUAUAUGGUCUCAAACAGGCCCCUCGCGUCUGGUUUGAGCGCUUCGCAUCUGUGGUGACCGCUGCUGGUUUCUUGCCCAGUGACCAUGAUCCUGCGCUGUUUGUUCACACCUCUCCUCGUGGUCGGACUCUUCUCCUUCUCUAUGUUGAUGACAUGAUCAUCACUGGUGACGACACUGACUACAUCGCCUUUGUUAAGGCUCGCCUUCGCGACCAGUUUCUUAUGACUGAUCUUGGUCCACUUCGCUACUUUCUUGGGAUUGAGAUCUCCUCGACCUCUGAUGGCUUCUACAUCUCCCAAGAAAAAUAUAUUCAGGAUCUUCUUGCUCGCGCUGCUCUUGGUGAUAAGCGCACGGUUGUGACUCCUAUGGAGCUCAACGUUCAGCUUCGUGCCACCGAUGGUGACCCUCUUCCUAAUCCCACUCGCUAUCGUCAUCUUGUUGGCAGUCUGGUCUAUCUUGCUGUUACGCGUCCUGACAUCUCCUAUCCUGUCCACAUCCUGAGUCAGUUUGUUUCAGCCCCCACCUCUGUCCACUAUAGUCAUCUCCUCCGUGUUCUACGAUAUCUUCGUGGCACGAUCUCUCAGCGCCUUUUCUUUCCCCGCUCCAGCUCUCUUGAGCUCCAGGCCUACUCUGAUGCUACCUGGGCUAGUGAUCCCUCGGAUCGACGCUCGCUGUCUGCUUAUUGUGUCUUUCUUGGUGGCUCUCUUAUUGCCUGGAAGACAAAGAAGCAGACUGCAGUUUCUCGCUCGAGUACAAAGGCUGAGUUGCGAGCCAUGGCUAUGUUGACGGCUGAGGUGAUCUGGUUACGGUGGUUACUUGAGGACUUUGGUGUGUCUGCUACUACCUCCACUCCUCUACUGUCCGACAGUACCGGUGCUAUCAGUAUUGCGCGUGACCCGGUGAAGCAUGAGCUCACCAAGCACAUCGGUGUGGAUGCCCACUUUGUGCGUGCUACUGUGCAGGAUCAGACUCUCGCUCUUCACUAUGUGCCCUCUGAGUUACAGUUGGCUGACUUCUUCACGAAGGCACAGACUCGAGCGCAGCAUGAGUUUUUCCUCUCCAAACUCAGUGUUGUUGAUCCACCAUGA
rnacentral:rRNA from 1 species